CCUCGAAUGGCCUUUCGUGUCUCUACCCAGACAUGCGUUAGAAGUAAUUCCAAGGUGUGAAGCUCUGGGGACAAUGCUUAAUUAGUUAGAGAAAAAAGCUAAGGUAAGCGAAAGCGAAGAUAUGUUUUUACAAUCCGUAUUUAAAAGCUUAU
rfam:Tuber melanosporum whole genome shotgun sequence assembly, scaffold_251, strain Mel28